rnacentral:rRNA from 1 species
AUUGAACGCUGGCGACAUGCCUUACACAUGCAAGUCGAACGGCAGCACGGGAGCAAUCCUGGUGGCGAGUGGCGAACGGGUGAGUAAUAUAUCGGAACGUGCCCAGUCGUGGGGGAUAACGUAGCGAAAGCUACGCUAAUACCGCAUACUAUCUAUGGAUGAAAGCGGGGGAUCGCAAGACCUCGCGCGAUUGGAGCGGCCGAUAUCAGAUUAGGUAGUUGGUGAGGUAAAGGCUCACCAAGCCGACGAUCUGUAGCUGGUCUGAGAGGACGACCAGCCACACUGGGACUGAGACACGGCCCAGACUCCUACGGGAGGCAGCAGUGGGGAAUUUUGGACAAUGGGCGCAAGCCUGAUCCAGCAAUGCCGCGUGCAGGAUGAAGGCCUUCGGGUUGUAAACUGCUUUUGUACGGAACGAAACGGUGAGCUCUAAUACAGUUUGCUAAUGACGGUACCGUAAGAAUAAGCACCGGCUAACUACGUG